rnacentral:rRNA from 1 species
UACAGAGGUCCCAAGCGUUGUUCGGAUUCAUUGGGCGUAAAGGGUGCGUAGGCGGCGCGGUAAGUCGGGUGUGAAAUCUCGGAGCUUAACUCCGAAACUGCAUUCGAUACUGCCGUGCUUGAGGACUGGAGAGGAGACUGGAAUUUACGGUGUAGCUGUGAAAUGCGUAGAUGUCGUAAGGAAGACCAGUGGCGAAGGCGGGUCUCUGGACAGUUCCUGACGCUGAGGCACGAAGGCCAGGGGAGCAAACGGG